GUCGCCUUCUGCUUGGACUAUUGCGUGCACUAUUAUACCGCAUAGAUAAAUAAAAUGAAUAUUAGAGGCCUCGCUCAAUCUUAUCUUCAGGCAAGGCCGAGGCAAGACAGAAGCAAGCAGCGAUGCCGUAGGACGCGACAUCAGGAUGCCGAAGACUGGCGACACGACCGGGAGCAGAAAGGUGCAACCCGCCGAGGGCCAGUGCCAGGCUUCCAGCGCCCGUUGGCCGGUCGUUCUUCUCGUCGCCGGACGGCUACUUCCACCCGCUAGCCUAAGCGAACAGCGACGCCGCCCAAAGCCUACAGUCGGGUACCGAAGACUCCAUAGCCCAAUGGAGAUGACGAGCCUGCUGAGAAUAAGUGCCGGGCUUCCAGCGCCCGUUGGCCGGUCGUUAUUCUCGUCGCCGGACGGCUACUUCCACCCGCUAGCCUAAGCGAACAGCGACGCUGCCCAAAGCCUACAGUCGGGUACCGAAGACUCCAUGGCCCAAUGGAGAUGACGAGCCUGCUGAGAAUGGUCGUUGAGACGAUCGGGCAAUACCGGAGCGAGCAGCACAAAACUUCAACGCAGAAAAUCAGCGCAGAACGGCGCACCAGGCUGACGCCAAUGCCAGCAUGUGCACCAAGGCCGUCAUAAAAGCCGGGCAACACGGAAGCGAUCAGCAAAGUCUCUGGAAGCCGGAGAGAUGUGUCAUGGCAGGAAACGAGAACCAGCUUUUCAGUUCAGAGGCCGUUGAGACGAUCGGGCAAUACUGAAGCGAGCAGCGAGUACCUGUUCUACUCAGCACGGCGCCCAAGACUUACGCCAUUGUCAGGCAGAGUCGGGGAAAGACUGGCAAGACAGAAGCGAGCAGCGGUGCCGCGUCUUAAGUGACACUGGGUCACCGAAAACAAGCGACGCGACCGGGAGCAGGAGGAGGCGACUGCUGG